ACUUUCGUAGCUUAUAGUUAGAGCAUAGCACUGAAGAUGCUAGGGAGACAAACUCUGUCCAAAAGUA
rnacentral:tRNA from 1 species